UACGUAGGGUGCAAGCGUUGUCCGGAAUUAUUGGGCGUAAAGAGCUUGUAGGCGGUUUGUCGCGUCUGCUGUGAAAUUUCGGGGCUCAACCCCGAACUUGCAGUGGGUACGGGCAGACUAGAGUGUGGUAGGGGAGACUGGAAUUCCUGGUGUAGCGGUGAAAUGCGCAGAUAUCAGGAGGAACACCGAUGGCGAAGGCAGGUCUCUGGGCCAUAACUGACGCUGAGAAGCGAAAAGCAUUGGGAGCGAACAG
rnacentral:rRNA from 1 species